GGGACCAGGAGUAGUGCAAGUAAAAAGUGAAGUUUUAGUGAUCUAGAGACAAGCUUAGUCCACCCACAACGUUAGAGUUGCGUGGACGCUAAGUCGAAAGAAACACCAUAUCACCAGGAACCAGUGAUCUGUUAGAGGAUAUCACGCAGCCGUACGGACCAGCGCCACCAGUAGACCAGAACGGCUAACCACUCGCCCUGGCUGAAAAGGAUCACGCUACCGUACUGAGAAGGAAGAAGACACGCUUCUGGUCCCAACCCAACGAGUCUCUACCGUACCCGGUAAUAGGAAGUAAUAGGAUUCGACAACUGGACACGCGUUCCGCAGCCAUCGACAUCUUCCACGUUAGAGCCACGAAGAGCGACAGGCUUUAAUCCCGCAAUCUUUUGGAGUCCCCAGGAGAUGUCCAGACUUAUAUUUCUCGCCAUCUGCGUGUCUAUCAUAUAGGCUAGAAUCCAAAUUCAUGAUCUAACAAACAACCUCUUGGCUAUUAUACCCAUCGGAGAAGCUAAAGUGAAAACCGGAUACAUUCGCAUAGUACAUCUUAUUGAUCUUGUUCAAAUUGAAAAGAUGGGACACAAUCGGAACAGUUUCGAAAUGGAUUGCCGGCAAGCCCAGAUGCUGAGGAUCUUCGAGUCAUCAAUUCAUCAAUCAACGCGCUAAUCUCCCAGAAUAAUAAGCAUCUAUAAAGCAAUCGAUCAACGAA